GUCCCAUGAAGAAGAAAGCAAAAAGAGAAAAUUUACUUUCUUACAAAACCCUAGAUCUUGAAAUCCUAGGUGUUGUUGUAUGUGAUGCAAGUUACAAAGAUGGUUAGUUACAUUAAUCUUGUUUAGUCAAAAUUAUUUUGAUUUAAAAUUAUUAAAAUUUAGAUUUGAUCUAAAAAUUUUAUGAUUUGAUGUAAAAAAUUUACAUGAAAAAUUAUUUUCGAACCCUUAACCAUGUUGAUGCA
rnacentral:lncRNA from 1 species